GGCUGCCAGGUAGUCCCCUCAGCUCCAAGGAGAGGCAUCAACCUGCUACUUUUGGCUCCAACCACCACCCAACAGACCGUGCGAGGUCGUCCUGGGGAAGCCAGGGGCCGCUCAGUCCCAUCACCGUCCCCACUAUUCCCAGGCGGGAAGGGGAUCCUGGGGGGGCCCCCAGAGAUGCCGAAGCGAGGUCAAGGUAUUGCUCUGAGUAACUUCACGUGUGCUAUUUUGGGAACCGCUUUGAGAAAGCGACAGCAUUUGUACCAGCAUACCGAAAGCAGAGGAGGCAGCUGGAAAAGCACAGGCUGAGAAGUCACCAGGAGGCAGAGGAGUCUUUCUAAGAGGAGCGGAAGCCCUGAGAAGAAGACUUCCUGGGGGAAACAGAUGGUGUUCACUGUGAUGUAGCAGGCAGGGACCCUGCCAGAUGCCUGAAUCAAGAAGAAGGGGAUAAGCACUGCACUCCUGGGUGAAGAAAACACAGAUUGUAGAACCCCUCCAAAGGACUGCACCAGAAAAGGGGCCAGGAUAGAGGGAAGAACUAGUUGUUCCUCAAUAAGCUAGUCAUUGUGGGUGAAACACUGCUGUUGUUUCCUGAGUCUCUCUUUUGCUGGGUCCCCAUGCAAGCUCAACCAUCUGUUAGUCCUCAUGA